AAGAGUUGCAAAACUCCCACAAACCAUCGCGAACGUUACCCAGACGUCGUUGCUUCGGCGGGCUCGCCCGCCGGGGGGACGCCACCAGACUCUUGCAGUUACACGGCCUCUCUGAGUACGAUUUUUAAAUAAGUCA
rnacentral:misc_RNA from 1 species